rnacentral:misc_RNA from 1 species
UACGCCACUGUGCUCCUUCCUCCUACCGACACAGCCGACAGAGAGAAGAUACGAUCUAUAUAGAAGGAAAGGAAAGCAUUCUCAGGAAAGGUGGGAGCAGGACACGUGACAGAACUUGGUAGAACUUCCUUUGAGCGAUGAUGCAUGCCAGGACGUGCAGACGUGCUCCCUGAGUCUCUCUCCUUUUGUGUCCGUGCGACGGAACUGAGGGGGGGAUCGUCUUUUUACGUGCAUGCGUAGAGCAGAUCAGCACUGCAUCGAGCCCCACGCAACCACAUGCCAUUGCACCAUUCCAUGAGUACCACUUCCUCACCCGACGCGGCCUCGUGUGAUGUGGAGAAGGAAAGGAAGUGCAUCUCCCCCGUGACGCGGACGGGUAAGUCGUUCGUGGAGUGCGCUCUCAUCGACCUCCCAGAAAAGUACAGCAGCGCCUUUCCUUACCUGCGAGGUGCUCGACUUUUCUUCUUUGACGUGGUGAGUAAGCUCAACCGUAUCGGUGCCCGCGACAAGCGUGUCGUCUUUGUUACAGACUACACGAUCGGUGUAGCCUCGAAGCGGGGGCGCGUCUCGCGGUGCGCCAAAGUCGAGGACAUUUCGGAACUUAUCUGCGAUGCACAGGCGCGUGCCCUUGGCGUCCGCAUGCGGAGUCGCCCCUUCGCCAUUGCACCCAAGGACUUCCCUCGCCGGAACUGCUUCCACGAGAUGCCGGUGGACCUCUUGCUGCACGCGACCUCUUCUGCACAGUAUGAGGCACUCAUAAACGUGUUGAGCUUCGUGCAUCAUACCUCCACCCACGAGGCGCUGCUGUGCCGCUCGCUCAAGCAGUACGAGACGUGGAAGGCGUCACUGGUUUUGGCGCCUGACGGAUCGCGUGUGAAGAAGGCAAUGCAGUAUUAUGCCAUACCCGUGCCCCCGUCGGAGGGGAGCACUGGCGCCGCCACGCUAAGUGCUACUCGAUCGCAGGAGACAAGUGCAAGCCUAUGGGCUGUUCGUGCACCGAGGCAAGCUGCCCUCCUCUCUGCAGGUGACUCAGCGUCACGCUUCACGAGCGCACCGGAUGUGUCUGCCGCAGUGCCGACGCUGCGACACUGGUCCUCGCUGGGUGCCAGCUCUUCUUUCACUCCCUCUGGCGUUGGCGGUCAUCGGACGGCGCUGGAAUUGUCGCCGUUCAGCCUCAGCCCAUCGCCGACGCCUCCGCUAGUCGGGUUCUCAAGGGAUAUGGUGACCGUGCCGACCUCUGCAACGCGUCGUGGUGGCAACCCGCUGCUGAAGGCUGACAGAAAGGUCCCCAAUACGUCGUCUAAAAAAAAGCAGGGUAACAACGAGGGUGCAGCUUCGGACCAAGCCUUGACAAGACCGCCGCGGCGGAGUCUCCGAGCUAGGCUUCUGUAGUUUUCACCUCUGGCAGCCUGGAGCGGCUGACUGUAGCGGCGGCGAGGGGCGGAACGACGAUGAGGAGCCUCGCAGCGAGGCUCAAGAGGCGGCAGCUCCGCGACGCUGAGCUUUGUCGCCACCGGCCCUCGGAGAAGCGCGAGCUGGACGGCCCCAUGCGUUACCUCGGUUCCUUCGCGCCAGCCAGCGACAGCUGUCACCUGAUGAACGGCACCGGAAAUACAUCGAUUUUCUCUGCCUCUCCCAGCGGCGGCUAGACUCUCGGCGAGGCGCGACGGAUCGAGAGAGAGGUAGCAGCAGCGUCUCGAUAGGCAGUGCUUCAGCUCCGUGAUGCGCCGCGGCGCCACUGGCAGUCCAAGGAAACGGUGCAGGCCUAUUAAGAGGAGCUGCUGGAACGCCGCUGACGCAGCUGCGCGCGUAUCAGUAUCCCAGAUCCACUAACCACACCUUUCGACGGAGCGGAUGCUGCACCGCGUUCAGCAUCGGCUCGAUCUGAGCGAGCGUGCUCGAGCGCGAUCGCCGACGCGCACUGACGCCUUCAUUACCGUCCCCCGUGAGUUAAUCGAUGCCUUCGUGGAUGAUUAGGGUCGCAACCAAGAUGAAAUCGCCCACUUUCGGCUUCAGCUCCAGGAAGACAGGGUGAGAGCGGCCCUGACCGGUGCGGCGUUGACUUUCCACGUUUUCUUCUCUCUUCGCUCUCUUCGUGGUUUUGCAGCUGUUCUUAUGUGAUUGCCCGUACAGAACGAGAAGAAUGGUGUGAGGGCGGUCGUUCGUCAGCCUCUCCCCCUCCCCCUAUCUACCGACGACAGAUGUGCCAUAGCCCCUCCCAUUCUCUAGCCAUGGCGCGCUGUUCUUUGAUGUGCUUUCUUCUUUUCCUUUGCGUUUUACUUCCUCUCCGGCGAGAGAGGAGGAGGGGGAGGGCGGUGCGCUGCGGCCCUUCUUUCUUCCCGCUUCUCUUAUACAUGUGCAAUCUUAUUAACUUUUCAAUGCGCUUGUAUCUCUCUCUCUCUCUGUGUGCCUAUGAACGUGCGUAUACGUUCGCGCGUGCGUGUGCGUGUGUGUGUGUGUGUGUGUCUGCCCUUUGUGGUAUACUUCCUGUAUGUAUUUUCUUUGCAUUCUCAUCGUUUUUCGCGGCUGGAUCACGGUGGUGUUGACAUAGGUGAUCCGGGCAGUGAGCUGUGCACUGGUAUGUCUGCAGCGUCUCUUCGCGUUCUUUUUCUCUCAUAGCCGGCCCCUUUUUGUGUUUGUUGUCUUGGGUCUUUGUGGAACCCUGACGACGAGUGGACACCUCUCAGUGCGUGGUAUCUCAGGAGUCAGUACACCCAACUCUGUGUGGGGAAGCUAAGCAGCCUUCCCCCCUCCUCCUACCCCCGCCAAUGCCGAACCACCUCUGGUGGUGACAGGGCCAAGUGCCUGCGAUGUGGGAAGGCGAGGCCGAUUCAGCGCUACUGACGUCGAUGGUCAGGUCCUGGUUGGCGUGGCGUUGGAGCGACCUGCGUCGAUGAACUCGUCUGUGCCAUCCAUGUGAUGCGCGAAGUGCCAGCGCGACUCGUACGUAUCCCACCCCCGGGCCUCACACUGCCCCACUGGUGUGGGGCGCCCGGGCCACGUUGAAAGAUGCACUGGGCGGCGACCCGCGAUGCGGAUGGAUGGGCAGGGUUCGAGGCAGGGGCCGCGCUCAGCCGACUGAGUCGGCGCAUGGCUGUAACGCGCGUGUGUCUAGCGCUGCUUUGCACCACGCGGAUGUGGCCUGCGGCAGUGCCAGUGGGUUGGCGUGCAGCUCAUCUCACACGGCCGAAAGGGUGGUCACGUUAAAGGAAUAGCUUAUAUAUUUUUUCCUCUUCCGUUCUUGUCUUGCGGCUUGAAUAGCUAUCUACACCCUGUCAGGCUUUCUCUUUCUCCCCCUAUGCUCCUUCUGCUCCACCCUUCUUGUGUGCUGAUGCAAGCGUCUCGCUGAUUGGCGAAGAGGGUCCAUCGUCGUCACCACCGAUCAGCGUGGGACGUGAGGAGGAUGGAAGGGACGAGCACACAACAGAGCGACCGGGCAAGGGGGGUGAGCGUUGACGCCAUGCACGUCUGCACGUGCGUGUAUGUGCGUGGAGGGGACAAGCAAGCACGUGCAGUGCAGAAAGAAAGACAACCGAGGCAAAAAUCGAGAUGCCGUGAUAGAUCACCGCACCGAAUGCGUGGAUGCUGUGCCGCGGUUCCAAACAACAAAAAGUGGAAGGGCCGCGGCAUGUGUUGAGCAGACAUGGAGCUCGUGUGUGUGUGUGUGUAGCGCCUAGAGAUUCAUCGCGGCACCUUAGUGUUCUGUUACUUUGCCUGGUGUGCUCCACUCG